CUUCAUUGCUCAAGAGAGAAAAGUCAUCCCUUUCUGGCAAUGUCAGCGAGAAAACUAGACACAGUGUAAGCAGACCGAGUGCCUGGCAUAGAGGCCCUUCCGUCAAUGAAAGCUACUGGUGCCAUUAUUGUCCUUAAACGAAGCCCUGAAUAGGAUGAUUCACUCUACAAAGCUGUACUGGCUAGUGAUGCUAACAGAGGCCACUGUGGAGGUGGAGGCCACAGGCCAGAGGGAGUGUGGAGAACCUGUAAGUGUAAAGCAUGAGCCAGGCCUGCUGGGCACACAGAGGAAAAACCUUCCUCCUGCUGAUUCUCGAAACACUGAAACGUCCCUCAAGGACUUUACUGCCGGGUGUAGAGUUUAUGUCUGCAUAACAGGUAUAUUGUCACAAGCCAGUUUUGUAAGCUGAUCUUUGGGACCCCUUCCUGUGACUUCUCCCAAACACAGUUAGUUUCUCUCCUGCACCCAAAUGCCAUCCUGGGGAAAAGAAAGAAAAGGAGUCGGGAGAUCUAAGGUCUGGCCUUUAUCCAAAUGUUCCUGACGUAUCUAAGGCAAGUGUUUCAAUUCUGUGA
ensembl:lncRNA